rnacentral:rRNA from 1 species
AGAGUUUGAUCAUGGCUCAGAGCGAACGCUGGCGGCAGCUUAACACAUGCAAGUCGAGCGGGCGUAGCAAUACGUCAGCGGCAGACGGGUGAGUAACGCGUGGGAACGUCCUUUUGGUUCGGAACAACACAGGGAAACUUGUGCUAAUACCGGAUAAGCUUACGGGGAAAGAUUUAUCGCCGAAAGAUCGGCCCGCGUCUGAUUAGCUAGUUGGUGAGGUAAUGGCUCACCAAGGCGACGAUCAGUAGCUGGUCUGAGAGGAUGAUCAGCCACAUUGGGACUGAGACACGGCCCAAACUCCUACGGGAGGCAGCAGUGGGGAAUAUUGGACAAUGGGCGCAAGCCUGAUCCAGCCAUGCCGCGUGAGUGAUGAAGGCCCUAGGGUUGUAAAGCUCUUUUGUGCGGGAAGAUAAUGACGGUACCGCAAGAAUAAGCCCCGGCUACUUCGUGCCAGCAGCCGCGGUAAUACGAAGGGGGCUAGCGUUGCUCGGAAUCACUGGGCGUAAAGGGUGCGUAGGCGGGUCUUUAAGUCAGGGGUGAAAUCCUGGAGCUCAACUCCAGAACUGCCUUUGAUACUGAGGAUCUUGAGUUCGGGAGAGGUGAGUGGAACUGCGAGUGUAGAGGUGAAAUUCGUAGAUAUUCGCAAGAACACCAGUGGCGAAGGCGGCUCACUGGCCCGAUACUGACGCUGAGGCACGAAAGCGUGGGGAGCAAACAGGAUUAGAUACCCUAGUAGUCC